AUCGAGAGGGACUCCGGAGAAGGAAGGCUGCUCCGCGCACCGGCGCGCCCUUCGCCUCUCCCCUCCCUACCUCCCCCUCUCUUCCCCCUUUUUUCCCCCGCCUCCCGUCUUCUUCCGCGCCUCCGAGGGUCCGCCUCUGCCUCGGGGACCCCCGGGCGGGCCGGGGCUUGGCCGCCGAGGUGCGCCCCGGUCGGAGGGGCCCCCGCACCUCGGCGGCCGCCCCCUCCGGCGCCGCGCGUUCGCGAAAGGCGCGAAAGGGGCCCCCGGAGGCUUUUUUCGAUUCCCGGCCGGGGGUCCCGGGUAGCCGCCCGGCGCCGGUCGGAAGGCGUCCCCCGCCCGGCGGUCCGGCCCGGGCCCCCGGCGGAGCGCGGGGGCCCCGGGGCCCCGGGCCGCGCCGGCGGCGUUUCCGCGUUCCGUUUCUUCUCCCUCCCGGCCGCCCCGCUCCCGGGCCCGACCCUCGCCCCUUCCCUUCUCCUCGUCUUCCCCCGUCCCGCCGCGCCCCUUCCCUCUUCCUUCUCUCUCUCUCUGUCUCGCUGUCUCGCUCUCCUCACAUUUCCCCCCCCCCCGCCGCCGCCGCCGCCGCCCUCUGCCCGCGUCCCACCGAGACGCCGCGCCGCGUGAGCCGUCCGCCGGGGGACCCGGGCUCCGGGGGGGGGCGCGCCUGCGUGUGUCUCGUGUGAGACAGCGCGCCCCUCGAACGCCGCGCGUUCUCGCAGCGCCGGACGCGGACGCGACGCUCCCACCAGCCCCGCCCGCAGAGGAAGAGGCGGAGGAGGAGGAGGAGGAGGAAGAGGAGGCGGCGGCGGCGACCGCGGCCUGGGACGACGGAGACGCCGACGGGGGCGCGGCGCCCGCGGACGCCGGGGCGAGCGGCCCGUGGCCGCGGUCGCCCGAGUCCGAGUCCGGGGCCCGGCGCGGCGCCGCCCUCUUGGCCCCCACCCCCUGGGGGGCGAGGGGCGAGCGCGGGGCGGCGGAGGAAGAGGCGGAGGACGAGGCCGCAGGGCCCGAGUCCGACCCGCGCCUCUUCCGGGGGCGGGCCGCCGCCCCCUCCGCGGCGUGGGGGGCGGCACCGGGGGUGUUGGUGCCGCGGGGGACCCCGGGUCCUCCCUCCGCGCCCGGCCCUCCCGACCCGCGCGCGUCGGUCGCGCCUGCCCGGCCCAGACUCUGUGCUUGGGUGUCGGUCUGAGCCUGGGUCAUGCGCGACCGGGGCGCGCGGUGCGCGUCCACCGGCACGGCGGGCGGCGCGGGCCCGGCCGCGUCCGCGCUCGCAGACACCACGGGGGCGGCGGCGGCGCGGGGCGGACUCCGGACGCGCGGGGCGACGGCCGCGCGGGGGCGCGCCGCGCGCCCCGACGACUGUGGCAGACCUCCCCCCCCGGGGCCCGAGGACACCUGCGCGGAGGAGGAGGAGAAAAAGGAGAGCGGCCCGGGGCCCGCGGGGCGGCGCGGAGACGGCGGGGGAGAGUCGCUGAUGACUAUGGGGGGCUCCUGGGCCGCGCGGGGCUGUCUCGCGGGGGGCGUCCUGCCCUCCGCCGCCGCGGCGUCUUCGCCCACCCGCCGCGCCUGCGCGCGCCCCCCGCCGGCCGCAGGGGGAAGAGAGGCCACUCUCGGCACGACGGCCGCGACGGCAGGGCCGCCCCCAGACCCAGAUCCCACCCCCGCCCGCAACGGGGCGCCGCCGCUGCUGCUGCUCCGCGGGGCGCCAGGGGGCGCCGGUCGGGUCGCGGCGGGCUGGGAGGUUCCGCGGGUCGCCCCCGCACCGCCGCCCCCGCGCCGGGGCGCUCUUCGGGGGGCGGGCGGGACGUAGUCCGCUGCAGAGGGAGACAGAGACGGGAACCCCCGGUUAGUGCCCGACCCCCGCCCGACCCCCGGUUAGUGCCCGACCCCCGGUUAGUGCCCGACCCCCGGUUAGUGCCCGACCCCCGGUUAGUGCCCGACCCCCGGUUAGUGCCCGACCCCCGCCCGACCCCCGGUUAGUGCCCGACCCCCGCCCGACCCCCGGUUAGUGCCCGACCCCCGCCCGACCCCCGGUUAGUGCCCGACCCCCGCCCGACCCCCGCCCGCCCUCACCGUCGGCCAGGUCAUCGUCCUCGUCGUCCGUGCCGGGCCACGGGGGGGUGGGCGACAGGGCGCGGACCGUGUGUCCCCCCAGCGACAGGGAGCGCGGGGCCGUCCGCGGGUUGCCCGUCCAGAUAAAGUCCACGGCCGUGCCGGACCGCACGGCCGCCUCGGCCUCCACGCGGGUCCGGGGGUCGUUCACUAUCGGGAUGGUGCUGAACGACCCGCUGGCGGUCACGCCCACUAUCAGGUACGCCACCGGGGUGUUGCACAGGGGACACGUGUUGCGCAACGGAAUCCAGGUCUUCAUGCACGGGAUGCAGAAGGGGUGCAGGCAGGGAAAACUCUGGCAGCGCAGGGGCGGGGCGAUCUCGUCCGUGCACACGGCGCACACGUCGCCCCCCCCUCCCGCUUCCGCUUCCUCCUCACCCACGGGCCCACCCCCGCAGGAUCCCUGCGCGUCGGCGGGCGUGGGGCUGCCCUGGCGCUCGGCCGGGGGCCGGGCCGGGGGCGUGGCCGCGUCCAUCAGGCCCGCCUCGAACAUCUCCGUGUCCGUGCUGCCCGCCUCGGAGGUGGAGUCGCGGUGAAGGUCGUCGUCAGAGAUUCCCACCUCGGUCUCCUCCUCCGAGUCGCUGCUGGCGAGCCACUGCAUGUCGUUGAGCAUCCCCCAGGCGUGCGGGGCGGCGGGCUGCUUGACAAAGAAACGGGGGGGAUUUAGAGGGCGCGGGGCGUGAGGCGGGACCCCCGUGCCGUGUCCCCCGUGUCCCUCCCUCACCCCGGCCCCCCGCCCGCUGCUUUUUGUUCGGAAGGGGGGGAGAAAGGGGUCCGUAACCAAAGGUGGUCUGCGUCCUUUGGAUUCCGACCCCUCGUCUCCCCCCCUGUCCCCCGCUCUCGGGCUCCUCCCUGCCUCCCUCGCCCCCCCAGAGGGUCGGGGGGCGGCGCACGGCCCACGGGGGUCCCCCGACCGCUUAAGCGGGCCGGGGGUCGGCCCCGUCAAGCGUCCCCGCCCCCGAGCCCACCGCCCGCGACCACCCCCAACCCGCAGCCGGGUGGUCCGGGGAAAAGGGGGGGCCUGAGACCCGGGGGUCGCCCUCUCACCGUGCCGGGGGUCUGCCGCGGCGGCCGCUCGGGGCCGGGGUCCGCCCGGGAGCUCGUGCCGGGCCGGGGUUCCAUGAGCCGGGGUAGGGUAGACUCGAGACGGCGGCCCGCGGUCUCUCUCUUGCCGGGUUUUAGUCUCUGUCUCUCCGGGUCUCCUCCUCCCGCCGGGCCGCCGCUCCGUCGCUCGCAGUGCCGGGGUGCGAAUGCGGCCCGACCGUCACACGGGGCUGCCUUAUACCCGGCGCCUAUCCACUCCCCCAAAGGGGCGGCAUUUACGAUUCCCCCAAUAGCCGCGCGCCCCGGCGGGGGCGGAGGGAGGGAAUCCCCCCCUCUCGGGGCGGCCCCGUCCCCGGGGACCAACCGGGUGUACUCCAAGAACCCCAUUAGCAUGCGCCGCCCCCCGCCGACGCAGAUGGGAGUCCCCCCGGCGCCCCGCCGGCGCGGCCCUGAGUGGUGCCCGCCCCCGGGGAGAAAUUCAUUAGCAUACUAGGAAGCCCAGGGGACCAAUAGGGGCCGAUCAGCCCACCCACCCGGCGGCGCGCGAGGCUCUGCGUGUUCUGCCAAGAAAGUAAUCAGCAUAACCCGGAACCCCGAGGGAGUAAUUACGCGGGGAGCGAGGGGCCGUCCGAACGUUUUUAAUUACCAUAAGCGGGAAUGGCGGCCCGUUAAAAGCUGCUAAUUGCCGCGAGCGGGAACGCCGGCCCAUUAAAAGUUGCUAAUUACCAUGCGCGGGGAUGGCGGCCGGGACCGCCUAUUAAAAGUUUCUAAUUACCAUACCGGGAAGCCGGCGCGGGGCGGUCGCCGGGGCGGAGUCCGGGCCCGCGCGGCGGCGCGCGGUUGGCCGGCGCCGGCCCCUGGGGCGGGCGGAGCGGCGGGGCGGCGCCGGGCCCUCGCGGAUAUAUACGCGGGGCUCCCAUCGUCUCUUCGGAGAGCGGCCUCGCGCAGACCUUCGGAGCUCCGGGGCUCCGCCGGCCGAGGCCGCCCUCGCCGGUUCAACCCUAGACCGCCCGACGGCCCGGGCCCGCGGCGGCGGAGGACCCGCGCGCCGCCGCCGCCGCCUCCUCCUCCUCCUCCGCGGGUCCGCCGUCUUCGUGGGCCCGGGCUCGGGCUCGGGCCCGAGCUCGGGCCUCGGGCUCCAGGCACGGUCCGAUGACCGCCUCGGCCGCCGCCACGCGGCGCCGGAACCGGUCGCGGUCGGCCCGCUCGCGCGCCCAGGACCCCCGUCGGGCCAGGCGCGCGGCCGUCUCCCAGGCCACCAGAUGGCGCACCUGCACGCGCGGCGAGAAGCACACCUGCGGGCGGGGAGACACGGGGGUCAGGGGGUCGGGUCAGGGGGUCGGGUCAGGGGGUCGGGUCAGGGGUCGGGUCAGGGGUCGGGUCAGGGGGUCGGGUCAGGGGGUCGGGUCAGGGGGUCGGGUCAGGGGGUCGGGUCAGGGGGUCGGGUCAGGGGGUCGGGUCAGGGGGGCGGAGGGGAGGCGUACCUUCCCGCGCGGCGCGUCCGCGGGCGGGGACGCGGGGGGCCGCCGCCGGCGCAGGCUCAGGCGCGCCAGGUACUCCGUCGUGGUGCGCAGCCGUAGGGCCAGGUGGGGCGGAAGGGGGCGCUGCGGCCCGCGCUCCUUGCGCGGCGGCGGCGGGGGGCAGGCGGCGGCAGGCGCGGCGUGCGGGGCCUCCGGCGCCUUCCCCCCGCCCUCGCUCGGGGGGCUGUUCGCCCACUCUGCGUCGUCGUUGCCGGCGUAGUCCGCGUCGUCGCUGUCGUCCGCCUGGGGCACCAGCAGCCAGCGCCGCAGGAGCGAGGACGCGGCCGGCGCGCUCUCGACCGCGGUUCCCGAGUCGUACGCAGGGACCAUUUGGGAGUCUGCGGUUGGGAGCGCGCCGGGGCGCGGCACGGCUGGAGCGCCGGGGCGCGGCCGGCGCCGGGGACCCCGGCGGCGGGGACGCCGGCGGGACAUGGCGGGCGGCUGGGCUCGGCGUAGGCCCGGAGCCGGAGCGCGUCGGGGCGGGAGAGUUCACUCGGCACGCAUGCACGUGUAACCGCCAGUCCGUGCUUGCCUAGCGAACUCACCCGUCCCGGCUGGCGUGCGCAGCCCGGGCCGUGUUGCGGGCCCUCUUAAGGGGCGGCGGCAGGACGGGGACUCCCGCCCCGCCUCCUUUCCCCCGGGGAGUGAACCCCCGGGGGGGUGUUUUUGGGGGGGGGGCGCGAAGGCGGGCGGCGGCGGCGGGCGGGCGGCAGGGCAGCCCCGCGCGCCCCCUUCCCCGCGCCCGCCGCUCCCGGCCCUCCCCCGGAACCGGCCGCUCCCCCGCGGGCGGCGCCCCUCCCCCCGCGCGCCGCGGGCCCGGCGCGAAGGCGGGCGGCGGCGGCGGGCGGGCGGCAGGGCAGCCCCGCGCGCCCCCUUCCCCGCGCCCGCCGCUCCCGGCCCUCCCCCGGAACCGGCCGCUCCCCCGCGGGCGGCGCCCCUCCCCCCGCGCGCCGCGGGCCCGCUUCCCCGCGGCCGCCCCCGCGCGGCUUUUUUCCCGCGCCCGCCCCCGCGCGGCAGGACGGGGACU
rnacentral:sRNA from 1 species